AGUCGAACGGCAGCGCGGGGCAACCUGGCGGCGAGUGGCGAACGGGUGAGUAAUAUAUCGGAACGUACCCUGGAGUGGGGGAUAACGUAGCGAAAGUUACGCUAAUACCGCAUACGAUCUAAGGAUGAAAGUGGGGGAUCGCAAGACCUCAUGCUCCUGGAGCGGCCGAUAUCUGAUUAGCUAGUUGGUGGGGUAAAGGCCUACCAAGGCAUCGAUCAGUAGCUGGUCUGAGAGGACGACCAGCCACACUGGAACUGAGACACGGUCCAGACUCCUACGGGAGGCAGCAGUGGGGAAUUUUGGACAAUGGGCGAAAGCCUGAUCCAGCAAUGCCGCGUGAGUGAAGAAGGCCUUCGGGUUGUAAAGCUCUUUUGUCAGGGAAGAAACGGUGAAGGCUAAUAUCCUUUGCUAAUGACGGUACCUGAAGAAUAGGCACCGGCUAACUACGUGCCAGCAGCCGCGGUAAU
rnacentral:rRNA from 1 species